AUUGAACGCUGGCGGCAGGCCUAACACAUGCAAGUCGAGCGGAGCGGCGGACGGGUGAGUAAUACCUAGGGAUCUGCCCGGUAGUGGGGGAUAACGUCCGGAAACGGGGGCUAAUACCGCAUACUAUCGGAUGAGCCUAUAUCGGAUUAGCUAGUUGGUGGGGUAAAGGCCUACCUAGGCGACGAUCCGUAACUGGUCUGAGAGGAUGAUCAGUCACACUGGAACUGAGACACGGUCCAGACUCCUACGGGAGGCAGCAGUGGGGAAUAUUGCACAAUGGGCGCAAGCCUGAUCCAGCCAUGCCGCGUGUGUGAAGAAGGCCUUAGGGUUGUAAAGUACUUUAAGUUGGGAGGCGUUACCAACAGAAGAAGCACCGGCUAACUCCGUGCCAGCAGCCGCGGUAAUUC
rnacentral:rRNA from 1 species